GGGAUUGCCCCAGUAACGGCGAGUGAAGCGGCAGCAGCUCAAAUUUGAAAUCCGGCCCCCCCGGGGGGCCCGAGUUGUAAUUUGCAGAGGAUGCUUUUGGCGCGGCGCCUUCCGAGUUCCCUGGAACGGGACGCCACAGAGGGUGAGAGCCCCGUCCGGUCGGACGCCCAGCCUGUGUAAAGCUCCUUCGACGAGUCGAGUAGUUUGGGAAUGCUGCUCAAAACGGGAGGUAUAUGUCUUCUAAAGCUAAAUACCGGCCAGAGACCGAUAGCGCACAAGUAGAGUGAUCGAAAGAUGAAAAGCACUUUGAAAAGAGGGUUAAACAGUACGUGAAAUUGUUGAAAGGGAAGCGCUCACGACCAGACUUGGGCCCGGCGGAUCACCCGGCGUUCUCGCCGGUGCACUCGGCCGGGCCCAGGCCAGCAUCAGUUCGCCGCGGGGGACAAAGGCGGCGGGAACGUGGCUCCUCCGGGAGUGUUACAGCCCGCCGCGCAAUACCCCGGGGCGGACUGAGGUUCGCGCUCCCGCAAGGAUGCUGGCCUAUUGGG
rnacentral:rRNA from 1 species